UACGUAGGGGGCAAGCGUUAUCCGGAAUGAUUGGGCGUAAAGCGUCCGCAGGUGGCUAUGUAAGUCUGCUGUUAAAGAGUGAGGCUCAACCUCAUAAGAGCAGUGGAAACUACAUAGCUAGAGUGCGUUCGGGGCAGAGGGAAUUCCUGGUGUAGCGGUGAAAUGCGUAGAUAUCAGGAAGAACACCGGUGGCGAAAGCGCUCUGCUAGGCCGCAACUGACACUGAGGGACGAAAGCUAGGGGAGCGAAUGGG
rnacentral:rRNA from 1 species